CGGCGUAUGUGUGUUACGCUCGCCGGAAGGAAGGUUAGAUCCCCGAUGAUCAAGUCAGGCCGAACCUCGUAAACACGCGAUACGGACGGGGCGGUAAGCGGCUCCUUAGGAUUUUCAUCUUUUUACGUAGAAUGGAGGAGAUCGACAAUAUAAUAAUUCACUCGUUGCGACAAAUAGGCUGUGACAUUGAGGAGAGUGUAACGAACCUAAGUGGCUUUAGCACCGAAUUGGUGGUGGAAGCGACAGUGAGAUGCUUGGAAGCAAUAAGGCCGGGAUUGGGAUUGUCCACCGUGCUGCCCGUGAACAUGGCAGCGCGUUUUCGAUUGGGUGCCACACUCGCACAAACAUGCACGGAACUCGGAUACAGAGGUGAUAUCGGUUAUCAAACAUUCCUGUACAACUCUGAGGCGGAUUUGCGGAGAGUGUUCAUGUUUCUUAUCGAAAAACUGCCAAAGGAAAGUGAGAAGACUGUAAAUGAGUCUAUUAGUAAAGUUGCGUUGUUAGAAAAAUCAGUUGCGUCGGCUAUAUCGCAAGGACUUUCGAUACCCUGGUUGCCGCAUUAUUGUCACAGAAAGGGAUUCAGGAACAGAGGAAGAGCAAGCACUCCUUACACAACUGUAAAUAUUGAAGUACCAGUAGCGAAUGCAGAGGAUGAUGACAAAGACUAUUAUAUGCGCUAUUUACAACCAGUGCCUGAUCAAAUGCAAAAUAUCUCAUGCUUUUUACCUUCCAUGAUAUCGCAUAACGCAAGAGCGCUUAAUACUUCUUCGAUGGAUAUUAUGGAGCGUAUUAACUGGCUCAACAGUCAACAAUCGACCGAAAAAGUUGCUUAUUCCAGCGCACAUAAUGCCGCCAACGAACUUAGCAAGUUGUCGUCGGAGAACAAGACAACGCCAACUUUAACAGAUUCUCAGGUUAAGCAAAAGUCGGCGUUGCACUCGGUGCUUCUAGAACAAGAAACAUUAAGAAACGAGGCGAAACAGGAGGUGGAAGUGGAGAACAUGAAAGCGGAGUGCGAGAAUCUCAAAUUAAAUAUAGACGAAUUACAAAAUGAGAUUAAAAAGUUAACUAACAGAUUAGCGCAAGCAACGGUAACUGCUCAUAACGAAGAGAAGGAAUUGAGUGCAAACGAGGAGCAAAAGAAGAUCAAAGCGAGAGCGUACGAGCUCUUUCAAGACGGGCCGGAGAAUAUCAAAAAAUUGGAGUCCGCAAUCGAAGCCAGUACGAACAAAUUGAUUAAUUUAGCGAAUCAGUGGGAGAAACAUAGAGUACCUCUGAUUAUAAAAUACAGACAAGAGAGAGAAAAAUAUUCCACGAAAGCUAACGCGAGCCAAAAGAAGCUAGAUGAGAUAAAGUUAUUGAAAGAGAAGGAGAAAGAGCUUCAGGAGGAGUGUCGAAACAAGGAUCAACAGUAUUCGCAACUGGUCACGGAGGUUCAGAAACUUCCGAAGGAGGUGAACAGAUCCGCUUACACUCAACGAAUCUUAGAGAUAAUAAAUAACGUCCGAAAGCAGAGAGACGAGAUCAGCAAGGUUCUGGCGGAUACUCGUGAGAUUCAGAAGGAAAUCAACAUGCUAACCGGCAGACUGGAGAGAUCCUUUACCGUCGUGGACGAACUCAUAUUCAGAGAUGCGAGAACGAACGAAGCCUCGAGAAAGGCGUACAAGUUGUUAGCGACGUUGCACUCGGAUUGCAGCGAGCUUGUGAGCCUGGUCGAGGAAACGGGCGCAACGAUACGAGAAAUUAGAGAUUUGGAGGAACAGAUCGAUUCCGAAUCCGCUAAAAAUGUUGGUGCUAAUUUGGAAAGGAUAACGGCCGAUCUGAAACAGAUGAGGCAGGAAAGUGCCGCGUUAACGGCACAACUCCAAACUAAAGCCUCGUGAUUGUUAUAUACAGUAUGGCACUACUUUACGAUUUGUAAUGUCCAGGACCAGAUAAGAGUCUGAGAUGCAGUUUACAGAAUAUAUAAAUACGAAUACGAUUGAAUGCAUCGAAAAGACCAAUCAUUUUUUAGCUACCGCGAUAAUGCCUGUGAGAGCCUUCACGAAUCUACUGAGUUGACUGCUAAAAAUAAAAAUAAAAGAAAAAUUACGUGCCUUGGCCUGUAGUCGUGUCAGGCACUACGGCUUCCACGGUGCCGAGGCCAAGUAUUAUACGAACACGGGGACACGUUGUUAACAUUUUAACGCUCAAAAAAGAAUCAUGUGUUACCACAAAAAGCCUAAUAAUUUUUUAGCAUCGAGUUCAACUUCCGCAUUUCUCGCAGUUCGAAGAUCUGACACUUAAGGCUGUAAGUAAAAAAAAAAAAAAACAAAAAACAAAAAAAAAACUAAAAAAUAAAAUAUUGAAACAUGACG